rnacentral:rRNA from 1 species
UAGGGAAUCUUCCACAAUGGACACAAGUCUGAUGGAGCAACGCCGCGUGAGUGAAGAAGGGUUUCGGCUCGUAAAGCUCUGUUGGUAGUGAAGAAAGAUAGAGGUAGUAACUGGCCUUUAUUUGACGGUAAUUACUUAGAAAGUCACGGCUAACUACGUGCCAGCAGCCGCGGUAAUACGUAGGUGGCAAGCGUUGUCCGGAUUUAUUGGGCGUAAAGCGAGUGCAGGCGGUUCAAUAAGUCUGAUGUGAAAGCCUUCGGCUCAACCGGAGAAUUGCAUCAGAAACUGUUGAACUUGAGUGCAGAAGAGGAGAGUGGAACUCCAUGUGUAGCGGUGGAAUGCGUAGAUAUAUGGAAGAACACCAGUGGCGAAGGCGGCUCUCUGGUCUGCAACUGACGCUGAGGCUCGAAAGCAUGGGUAGCGAACAGGAUUAGAUACCCUGGUAGUCCAUGCCGUAAACGAUGAGUGCUAAGUGUUGGGAGGUUUCCGCCUCUCAGUGCUGCAGCUAACGCAUUAAGCACUCCGCCUGGGGAGUACGACCGCAAGGUUGAAACUCAAAGGAAUUGACGGGGGCCCGCACAAGCGGUGGAGCAUGUGGUUUAAUUCGAAGCAACGCGAAGAACCUUACCAGGUCUUGACAUCCAGUGCAAACCUAAGAGAUUAGGAGUUCCCUUCGGGGACGCUGAGACAGGUGGUGCAUGGCUGUCGUCAGCUCGUGUCGUGAGAUGUUGGGUUAAGUCCCGCAACGAGCGCAACCCUUGUCAUUAGUUGCCAUCAUUAAGUUGGGCACUCUAAUGAGACUGCCGGUGACAAACCGGAGGAAGGUGGGGAUGACGUCAAGUCAUCAUGCCCCUUAUGACCUGGGCUACACACGUGCUACAAUGGACGGUACAACGAGAAGCGAACCUGCGAAGGCAAGCGGAUCUCUGAAAGCCGUUCUCAGUUCGGACUGUAGGCUGCAACUCGCCUACACGAAGCUGGAAUCGCUAGUAAUCGCGGAUCAGCACGCCGCGGUGAAUACGUUCCCGGGCCU